UGAACGCUAGCGAUAGGCUUAACACAUGCACAUCGCGGGGCAGCAUGGUCUUAGCUUGCUAAGACUGAUGGCGACCGGCGCACGGGUGCGUAACGCGUAUGCAACUUGCCUCACAGAGGGGGAUAACCCGUCGAAAGACGGACUAAUACCGCGUACACUCCAUCUUGGGCAUCCAAGGUAGAGGAAAUGAAAUUCGCUGUGAGAUAGGCAUGCGUCCCAUUAGCUAGUUGGUGAGGUAACGGCUCACCAAGGCGACGAUGGGUAGGGGAACUGAGAGGUUGAACCCCCACACUGGUACUGAGACACGGACCAGACUACUACGGGAGGCAGCAGUGAGGAAUAUUGGUCAAUGGGCGAGAGCCUGAACCAGCCAAGUCGCGUGAAGGAUGACUGUCUUAUGGAUUGUAAACUUCUUUUAUACGGGAAUAACAAGAGUCACGUGUGACUCCCUGCAUGUACCGUAUGAAUAAGCAUCGGCUAACUCCGUG
rnacentral:rRNA from 1 species